rnacentral:lncRNA from 1 species
AGAUGUGGUUCGAACUUAUAACACAGUAAAGUGAAGUAUCUCAUUGAUAACUUGAUAAAGAUUAGCAGAGAUUGAAGUUUUCUCUAUAGCAGAAUAUUGAAUGUUAUCAUGCUGUCCCAGCCAAAGCAAACUGUCUUUAGAAGAAACAACCCUUCUUUAAAGGAACACAAUUUUUCUCCAUAUGUGCAGAACAUUGAAUGUUAUCAUGCUGUCCCAGCCACAGCAAACUGUUUUUAGAAGAGACAAGACUUCUUUAAAGGAACACAAUUGUUUCCAUAUGAGCAGAACAAUGAAUGUUCUCAUGCUGUCCCAGCCACAGCAAAGUAUCUUUAAAGGGACACAAUCAUCUCCAUAUGAGCAGAACAUUGAAUCUUAUAACGCUGUCCCAGCCACAGCAAACUGUCUUUAAAAGAGACAAGCCUUCUUUAAAGGAACACAAUUGUUUCCAUAUGAGCAGAACAAUGAAUGUUCUCAUGCUGUCCCAGCCACAGCAGAGUAUCUUUAAAAGGACAAGCCUUCUUCAAAGAGACACAAUUAUCUCCAUAUGAGCAGACCAUUGAAUGUUAACAUGCUGUCCCAGCUCCAGUAAAAUAUCUCUAAUCGGACAAUCGAGCUUUCCCAUCUUAGAAAGCCAGCCUUAUCAAAGGACUUCUAUUCUCCAUUAAUUUGCAGAAUAUUGAAUAGUAUGGUUUAAGCAGAGAACAUUGAUCACUGUUAUUAUGUUGCCCCAGCCACAACAAACUAUCUUUAAAUAUAAGUCCUAUUAAAGAACCUUUAUGUUCCAUCAAUUUGCAGAGUAUUGAAUAUCAUAUCUCAGUGAGAUGUAUGGUUUAAGCAGAGAUUGAAGUUUUCUCUAUAGCAGAAUAUUGAAUGUUAACCAUGUUGUCCCAGCUACAACAAUAUAUCUUUAAUCGAACAAUUGCCUUAUUAAAGGACUUUUAUUCUCCAUCAGUUUGCAAAACACUGAACUGUAUCGUUUAAGCAGAGAAUUGAAAUUCUCGGAACAUCAUUGUUCAAGCCUUAAUAAAGACUGACUUUAGCAGAAUUCUGAAUUUUAUAUCAAGCUGUCCCAGCACAGCAAGACAUAGAUUGACAAGCAUAUGUAAUUAUGAGCAGAACACUGAAUAUUAAUAUGCUGCCCCAGCCACAUCAAACUAUCUUUUAAUAGACACUCGAGAUUCUAACCUCGGAACACCAUCAAACGUAAGUCCUAUUAAAGAACAUUUAUGCUCCAUCAAUUUGCAGAGUAUUGAAUAUCAUAUCUGUGAGAUGUAUAGUUUAAGCAGAGAUUGAAGUUCUAUACAGCAGAAUGUUGAAUGUUAAUGCUGUCCCAGCUCCAGCAAUAUAUCUAUAAUCGGACAAUUGCCUUAUCAAAGGACUCUUAUUCUCCAUCAAGUUGCAGAACAUUGAACUGUAUCGUUUAAGUGUAUCGUUUAAGCAGAGAACAGAAUUUCUCGGGACAUCAUUGUCCAAGCCUUAACAAAGGCUGAUCUUAGCAGAAUUUGAAGUUUAUAUCAAGCUGUCCCAGUACAGCAAGACAGAGAUUGACAAGCAUAUGAUCUUAGGUUUUGUUAGGCAACAUCGGACUAUGCAGUCCGAGCAAUAUAUCUUUGUCCGGACAAUUGUAUUAUUCAGUUUGCAGAAUAUUGAAUUGUAUCGUUUAAGUAGAGAAUUGAAAUUCUCGGGACAUCAUUGUCCAAGCCUUACUUAAUAAAGGCUGCAGAAAUUUGAAGUUUAUGUCAAGCUGUCCCAGUACAGCAAGACAAUGAAACUAUAGAGAUUGAUUUCUCCAAUCUUUUACUCACGGACAUAGAUCGACAAGCAUAUGAUCUUAGGCAACAUCGGGACUAUACGGGACAAUUUUCCCAAGUUAGAAACCGGACAGACACAAUCAUAUAAUGUGUGUUGUCCCUUUCUUUUGGGUUU